GAUGAACGCUAGCUACAGGCUUAACACAUGCAAGUCGCGGGGCAGCAUGGGGGUUGCUUGCACUCCCCGAUGGCGACCGGCGCACGGGUGAGUAACGCGUAUCCAACCUGCCCUUCACCACGGGAUAACCCGGCGAAAGUCGGACUAAUACCGUAUGUUGUCCAUUGACGGCAUCCGAUUUGGACGAAAGGCUUGGCGGUGAGGGAUGGGGAUGCGUCCGAUUAGCCGGACGGCGGGGUAACGGCCCACCGUGGCUACGAUCGGUAGGGGUUCUGAGAGGAAGGUCCCCCACACUGGAACUGAGACACGGUCCAGACUCCUACGGGAGGCAGCAGUGAGGAAUAUUGGUCAAUGGGCGUAAGCCUGAACCAGCCAAGUAGCGUGCAGGAUGCCGGCCCUAUGGGUUGUAAACUGCUUUUAUGCGGGGAUAAAGUGGCCCACGUGUGGGCUUUUGCAGGUACCGCAUGAAUAAGGACCGGCUAAUUCCGUG
rnacentral:rRNA from 1 species